UCCCCACGUCUUACUUCCCGUCCUAGCGCCAGAGCCUGAAAAGGUGAACCCACCGGGGCUGGCUGGAGGAGAAGAGGAAAACUUGUUCCUGAAGGAACUGUCUGAGGGAU
rnacentral:snoRNA from 1 species